UACGAAGGGGGCUAGCGUUGCUCGGAAUUACUGGGCGUAAAGGGAGCGUAGGCGGACUGUUAAGUUAGAGGUGAAAGCCCAGGGCUCAACCUUGGAAUUGCCUUUGAUACUGGUUGUCUUGAGUCCGGGAGAGGUGAGUGGAACUGCGAGUGUAGAGGUGAAAUUCGUAGAUAUUCGCAAGAACACCAGUGGCGAAGGCGGCUCACUGGCCCGGAACUGACGCUGAGGCGCGAAAGCGUGGGGAGCAAACAGG
rnacentral:rRNA from 1 species